AUGACACGCCCUGCCUCGACGAGGGCAGCUUCGGCGCCGUCCUCAAGGCGCGCCACCGCGUCACGGGUAAGACCGUCGCCAUCAAGGUCCUCCGCUCCAACGGCGAUCUUGCCGCCGCCAACAAAGAGAUCCAGGACGAGGCCGGCUUCCUCGAGGCCUGCAGCCCGAACCCUUACGUCGUCGGCUCCCAUGGCCUCUUCCGCGACCCUGAGACCUACAACCUCUGCCUCGCCAUGGACUACGUCGGCCCCAACCUCCACGCUUUCCUGUCCGAGAGGCCGCCGCUGCCAGAGGCCAUACCUACAUGUGGCAGCUCCUCACCGGCGCCAACAAGAUGCACGGCAAGGACCGCAUCGUCCACCGAGAUAUCAAGCCGCAAAACAUCCUGGUCGGGGAAGGAGGGAAGAUCCUCAAGUUGUGCGACCUCGGGCUGGCCAUGUCCUUGAAGACCGCGAGGAAGCCUUACGACUAUGCCGGCACCAUGCCCUACAUGGCGCCGGAGAUGCUCCUGGGGAAGCCGGACUACGACGCGGGCGUCGACGUGUGGUCGCUGGGAUGCGUCAUGGCCGAGAUGCUCACCGGCGAGACGCUGUUCAAGGCCGACAAAAAGGACGACAGGACCUCCCAGCUCUCGGCCAUCUUCCGCGUCCUCGGCUUCCCGGACGAGACGACGUGGCCCGAGUUCGCCGCGGCCGAGGUGCCGCGAGUGUUCUACAACGCACAGCAGCACAACACGCUGGGAAACCUCUUCCCCCGGGAGACCUUGUCCCACGACGGGUUCCAAGUCUUGAAAGGGCUUCUCGAGUGCAACCCAGCUAG
rnacentral:rRNA from 1 species